UACGGAGGGGGCUAGCGUUGUUCGGAAUUACUGGGCGUAAAGCGCACGUAGGCGGCUUUGUAAGUUAGAGGUGAAAGCCCGGGGCUCAACUCCGGAAUUGCCUUUAAGACUGCAUCGCUAGAAUUGUGGAGAGGUAAGUGGAAUUCCGAGUGUAGAGGUGAAAUGCGUAGAGACCCGGAGGAACACCAGUGGCGAAGGCGGCUUCCUGGUCUGCAACUGACGCUGUGGCGCGAAAGCUAGGGGAGCAAACGGG
rnacentral:rRNA from 1 species